rnacentral:rRNA from 1 species
GUAGUCCAUGCCGUAAACGGUGGGUACUAGGUGUGGGGCUCCUUCCACGGACUCCGUGCCGUAGCUAACGCAUUAAGUACCCCGCCUGGGGAGUACGGCCGCAAGGCUAAAACUCAAAGAAAUUGACGGGGGCCCGCACAAGCGGCGGAGCAUGUGGAUUAAUUCGAUGCAACGCGAAGAACCUUACCUGGGUUUGACAUACACCGGAAACCUGCAGAGAUGUAGGCCCCCUUGUGGUCGGUGUACAGGUGGUGCAUGGCUGUCGUCAGCUCGUGUCGUGAGAUGUUGGGUUAAGUCCCGCAACGAGCGCAACCCUUAUCUUAUGUUGCCAGCGCGUAAUGGCGGGGACUCGUGAGAGACUGCCGGGGUCAACUCGGA